CAAGGUGGCUGGGUGAUCGCUGCGUGUUUUGAACACGGAGAGGAAAGUCCGGGCUCCGCAAAGGAAAGGUGGCGGAUAAUGUCCGCCGAGGGUAACCUCAGGGAAAGUGCCACAGAAAAUAUACCGCCAAGUUAUUGGUAAGGGUGAAAUGGCGAGGUAAGAGCUCACCGCAUUUCUGGUAACAGAAAUGCGGUGAGCUCUUACC
rnacentral:RNase_P_RNA from 1 species